rnacentral:rRNA from 1 species
AUAUAAUUAAGCGGAGGAAAAGAAACCAACAGGGAUUCCCUCAAUAGCGGCGAGCGAAGUGGGAUCAGCCCGAGAUGUGAAUCGAAGUAGGCUUGCCCUUCUUCGAGUUGUGCAUCAUGGUCUUUACCAGCAGGUUUGAUUGUCUAAGGUGCCUGGAAAGGCAUGCCACAGAGGGUGAUAGCCCCGUCUUUGACAAUUAAAACUACCGUAC